rnacentral:rRNA from 1 species
UACGUAGGGUCCGAGCGUUGUCCGGAGUUACUGGGCGUAAAGCCGCGCGCAGGUGGUCCAUUAAGCCCGGCGUGAAAGCCCCCGGCUCAACCGGGGGAGGGUCGUCGGGGACUGGUGGACUUGAGGGCGGCAGGGGCUGGUGGAAUCCCCGGUGUAGUGGUGAAAUGCGUAGAGAUCGGGGGGAACACCCGUGGCGAAGGCGGCCAGCUGGGCCGACCCUGACACUGGAGGCACGAAAGCGUGGGGAGCAAACAGG